rnacentral:lncRNA from 1 species
AUGACUGCCGGAGAGCAUGCUGGAAGUCGUAGUUCUCCGAGAGAGGGAAACGUGUGUGAGGGGCGAGCCCAGGCCUUAAGAAAUUCAGCCCAGGGCCCCGCAUGGGUUCUUCAGCUGGGCGGCGCUAUAAAUAGCCGCAAAGGACCCUCCCUCCUUCCCUGCGUGCUGGCGUCACUUCCUCCCCGGCCGGACCUGGCCCCGCUCAUUCUCUUUAGUGUUUGCCCUGUGUCUGCCGCCGCCGCGACUCGCUCGCUUCCCCCCCUUACCCUGGACCCCCCUUUCCUGGGAGCUACCAAUGGACUGAGCCGCCCGAAAGCCCGCCCGCCAACACGAGCCGGCCCGGGAGCCCCAGCCCAGAAAAACCACCAGGAUCAGUAGGUUGCUAGUUCUGAAGAGCAGACCUCAAACAUCAGUUAACCAUCUAAAAAUGUAUGGAAUAGUGAAAUGGUUCAAAUGAUCAUUUUUGGGAGUACAGUGGCUCAUUUGCACCUAACACUUACGAAAAAGUAAGCAUUUCUUAGUUUUUCAGUGUGCAUGAUGUACAGUUUCACCCAGUUAAAGAUUUGUAUUUGUCACAUACAGCACUGAUGGUACCUGUCUGUCAUGGGUUUGGAGGGAAAGUUCCAUCCUAUGGGGAGUGGAAGGCGGGACAUCAGGGGGGAGGAGCUGUACUGUAUAUAUAUUUGGAGCUUGUGUGGAGAAGAGGAGUUGGAGUCUGUGUGUCAGACUGGGUACAACUGUUUGUCAGUUAGUACAUACCUGAUAGGUUCAGGUUUCUAUUUAGGUAGCCAGAACUGAUAGGUUCAGGGUCUGUGCGUUACCUUAAGGUGUUCCGUGGGAACCAAGCUGUUGUAUGUGUGUGAGUGGGACUAUGCCACGUUCCUGUAUCCUAUUUACCUGAUCCUUUUAUUUACCCUGUUUGUUGUUUCAAUAAACCUUGUUCUUUUGUUUAUUAAAAUCCA